UGGGGAAUAUUGGACAAUGGGGGCAACCCUGAUCCAGCCAUGCCGCGUGAGUGAUGAAGGCCUUAGGGUUGUAAAGCUCUUUCGCUGGGGAAGAUAAUGACGGUACCCAGUAAAGAAGCCCCGGCUAACUUCGUGCCAGCAGCCGCGGUAAUACGGAGGGUGCAAGCGUUGUCCGGAUUUAUUGGGUUUAAAGGGUACGUAGGCGGGCUAUUAAGUCUGGGGUGAAAGCUUUCGGCUCAACCGGAAAAUUGCCCUGGAUACUGGUAGUCUUGAGUACAGUAGAGGUGGGCGGAAUUCAUGGUGUAGCGGUGAAAUGCAUAGAUACCAUGAGGAACACCGAUAGGGAAGCCAGCUCACUAGACUGUCACUGACGCUGAGGUACGAAAGCGUGGGGAGCGAACAGGAUUAGAUACCCCCGUAGUCC
rnacentral:rRNA from 1 species